AUUUAAAGAACAAUGGCGGCAAGUUUGGGAGUGCUUGGCGAACCAACGAGUAAAAAUGUUUUAUCUUGCAAAUUACUCGUUGUUGGAGCGGGUGGCAUUGGUUGUGAAUUACUCAAGAACUUGGUUCUUACAGGUUUCCAUGAUAUAGUCGUUAUUGAUUUGGAUACAAUUGAUGUGAGCAAUUUGAACAGACAAUUCUUGUUUAGAAAGGAGCAUGUUGGAAAAUCCAAAGCACAGGUUGCCAAAGAGAGUGCUUUAAACUUUAACCCCAAUGCAAAGAUUACAGCCUAUCAUGACAGCAUUAUGAGUCCAGAUUAUGGUGUUGAUUUCUUUAAAAAGUUUACGAUGGUUAUGAAUGCCCUCGAUAAUAGAGCCGCCCGGAAUCACGUAAACAGAAUGUGUUUGGCAGCAGACAUUCCUUUGAUAGAGAGCGGCACAGCGGGGUAUCUGGGGCAGGUCACGGUCAUAAAAAAGGGAUUAACAGAAUGUUAUGAGUGUCAACCUAAGCCUCCACAGAAAUCUUUCCCCGGAUGCACCAUUAGGAACACACCAUCAGAACCCAUUCACUGUGUAGUGUGGGCAAAACAUUUAUUCAAUCAGCUGUUUGGAGAAGAGGAUCCAGAUCAGGAUGUUUCUCCAGACACAGAAGAUCCGGAGUUAACAGCGGAAGCAGGUCAGACUGCCCUGGAGCAGAAGGAACAGUCUAAUGUUGCUGGCGGUAUAGAGAGGAAGUCAACACGGACAUGGGCAAUGGAAACGGGUUAUGAUGCAAAAAAAAUAUUCAACAAGGUAUGUUAACCUACGUAAGUGAAGGUUAGUUGUUUAAAAACAUUAUUGAUCUCAUGGCAUGAGAAGUUUCACUCUUGCAUUGUGUUUUCUUAUUUGUUGUCUCUUGUGUGUGCAGUUAUUUAGGGAUGAUAUCAAAUACCUGUUAUCAAUGGAAACCCUUUGGAAGAAAAGACGACCACCUAAUCCUUUGGAUUUCGAUAAUCUACCUCACACAGAGUGUUCUGAGCCGUCCACUGUGAUGCGGGAUCAGCGAGUCUGGUCCAUGAAGGAGUGUGCCCAGGUGUUCAGUGACUGCCUCGCCGGGCUCAAGAAGGAGUUCGCCAAUCAGGGAGAAAACGGCAUGCUUGUGUGGGACAAAGAUGACGAACUUGCAAUGGACUUUGUGGCAUCCACAUCCAACAUUCGAUCUCACAUAUUUGGUAUAAACCAGAAAACAAAAUUUGAUAUUAAAUCCAUGGCUGGGAACAUUAUUCCUGCAAUAGCUACAACUAAUGCCAUCAUUGCGGCAGUGAUAGUGAUGGAGGGAUUAAAGGUGCUUAAUGGAAGGAUAGAAGAAUGCAAACAGGUACAUUCUAAAUCUUAAUUCAAUAGUUUAAAAGAUGGGGAGGUCAAGUUUCAUGGAUAUGUUUAGUGGUAUCCUUAUUCUAUGGAUAAAUGUUCAUGUAUGGGAUUAUUUUUCAACUUAAAUAUGAAAUACCAAUAAUGAAGGGCAAAUGACAACCAUGAUUGCCAUGAAAUUCAUUAAUUCUGAAACCUCUAAAAAUUUGCCAGUUUUUUGAGCUCCCUUGCAUUUCUAUGAAAAUAGAUCUACCUAAACAGACAACCCAAUCCCAGGAAGAAACUGUUGGUUCCGUGCGCCCUGGACAAGCCCAGUCCUAAAUGUUAUGUGUGCUCCUCAAAACCAGAAGUGACAGUGGUUCUAAAUACGGAAAAAAUGACCAUAAAGACUUUGGAAGAUAAGAUCUUGAAAAGUGCACUAGGAAUGGUAGCACCCGAUGUUGAAAUAGAUGAUGGAAAAGGAACUAUUUUGAUAUCAAGUGAAGAGGGAGAGAUGGAAGAAAAUAAUGACAAGUUUUUGAGUGAAUUUCAUGUUGGAAAUGGCAGCAUCCUUAAAUGUGAUGACUUUUUACAAAGUUAUGAAUUGAAAAUAAUAAUAGCACAUAAGGAUAAACUGGAAGAAGACAAAGAAUUUGAUGUGGUAGGAGAUUUAUCAGAACUUCAUGCCAAACCAUUGGUGGAACAACCGACCAAUCAGAAUGGCGGUACCACAAGUCACCAAGAAGAGGAAGAUGACCUAAUGAUUGUGGAUGAGGUGGAAGUUAUUAAAUCUGGUACAAAACGCAAAGCUGACCAAGAGCCUGAUGAAAUCAACGCCAAACGCCCAAAGUCCAGCGGGGAUCACAAUGAUGAUAUUGUGAUUCUAUAGACAGGCGUAGGCAGCCUGCAGGAAGACCAAAUUCUGAAAUAAACUUUGCAAGAGUAAACCAAAAAUCACGAUAUUAUGCAAGUAAAAGGUGAAGACAGGACAAAUAAUUCAAAGAUAUUUUUGAGAAAAAAAAAGUUUGAUAGUUUAUUGCAUUAAUACUUGCAACCGUAUCAUGUUCCCUAUGGGAGUUAUUGCCCUUGUCUAUUAGUGCUAUACAUGUACAUGUAUGUAAAACACAUUGUUAGUAUGUAUAAUAACUGUUGUUUGGAAUGAGUUUGAAUGAAAUACAAUGAUGGAAAAAUUAAGAAUAAAGUUGCAUGUACGUC
rnacentral:misc_RNA from 1 species